UAGGGAAGUCUUCCACAAUGGACGCAAGUCUGAUGGAGCAACGCCGCGUGAGUGAAGAAGGUUUUCGGAUCGUAAAGCUCUGUUGUUGGUGAAGAAGGAUAGAGGCAGUAACUGGUCUUUAUUUGACGGUAAUCAACCAGAAAGUCACGGCUAACUACGUGCCAA
rnacentral:rRNA from 1 species